AACGAACGCUGGCGGCAUGCCUAACACAUGCAAGUCGAACGAGUGCCUUCGGGUGCUCGUGGCGCACGGGUGCGUAACGCGUGGGAAUCUGCCCUUGGGUUCGGAAUAACCGUUGGAAACGACGGCUAAUACCGGAUGAAGUCGAUAAGACCAAAGAUUUAUCGCCGGAGGAUGGGCCCGCGUAGGAUUAGCUAGUUGGUGUGGUAAGAGCGCACCAAGGCGACGAUCCUUAGCUGGUCUGAGAGAAUGAUCAGCCACACUGGGACUGAGACACGGCCCAGACUCCUACGGGAGGCAGCAGUGGGGAAUAUUGGACAAUGGGCGCAAGCCUGAUCCAGCAAUGCCGCGUGAGUGAUGAAGGCCUUAGGGUUGUAAAGCUCUUUUACCCGGGAUGAUAAUGACAGUACCGGGAGAAUAAGCUCCGGCUAACUCCGUGCCAGCAGCCGCCGUAA
rnacentral:rRNA from 1 species